rnacentral:rRNA from 1 species
AUUGAACGCUGGCGGCAUGCCUAACACAUGCAAGUCGAACGAGUGGCGGACGGGUGAUUAAUAUCUUGGCACCUUCCUGAUGGCGAGGGAUCACUCCUGGAACGGGUAUCUAAUCCCCAAUCCCAUCGGCUGUGCCCCGAUGGGCUUAGCUUUUUGGUGGGGUACCGGCUCACCAAGGCGACGAGCCCUAGCUGGUCUGAGAGGCUGACAAGCCACAGUGGAACUGAGACACGGUCCAUACGCCUACGGGAGGCAGCAGUGGGGAAUAUUGCACAAUGGGCGCAAGCCUGAUGCAGCCAUGCCGAGUGUAUGAAGAAGGCCUUCGGGGUGUAAAGUACUUUCAGCGGGGGGGCGUUACCCGCAGAAGAAGCACCGGCUAACUCCGUGCCAGCAGCCGCGGUAAUAC